rnacentral:misc_RNA from 1 species
GAUGAAGAACGCAGCGAAAUGCGAUAAGUAAUGUGAAUUGCAGAAUUCAGUGAAUCAUGGAAUCUUUGAACGCACAUUGCGCCCGCCAGUAUUCUGGCGGGCAUGCCUGUUCGAGCGUCAUUACAACCCUCAGGCCCCCGGGCCUGGCGUUGGGGAUCGGCGGAAGCCCCCUGCGGGCACAACGCCGUCCCCCAAAUACAGUGGCGGUCCCGCCGCAGCUUCCAUUGCGUAGUAGCUAACACCUCGCAACUGGAGAGCGGCGCGGCCACGCCGUAAAACACCCAACUUCUGAAUGUUGACCUCGAAUCAGGUAGGAAUACCCGCUGAACUUAAGCAUAUCAAUAAGCGGAGGA